rnacentral:rRNA from 1 species
CACUACAGCCAUGCCACCCUGAACGUGUGCCAUCUCAUCUGAUCUCAGAAGCUAAGCCGGGUCAGCCUGGUUAGUACUUGGAUGGGAGACUACCUAGGAAGACCAGGUGCUGUAGGCA